rnacentral:tRNA from 1 species
GGGGCUGUAGCUCAGCCGGGAGAGCGCAUGACUGGCAGUCAUGAGGUCAGGGGUUCGAUCCCCCUCAGCUCCACCA